rfam:Physcomitrella patens subsp. patens PHYPAscaffold_100 genomic scaffold, whole genome shotgun sequence.
UGCUGUGAGGAUUAUUCUACUUUCUGACACCUCUUGUAUGAGAGCAUAUAUUCUGCUCACUGAACGGGGAUGCGUCUAUCUGAGCA